rnacentral:rRNA from 1 species
ACGCUGGCGGCGUGCUUAACACAUGCAAGUCGAACGGUGAACACGGAGCUUGCUCUGUGGGAUCAGUGGCGAACGGGUGAGUAACACGUGAGCAACCUGCCCCUGACUCUGGGAUAAGCGCUGGAAACGGCGUCUAAUACUGGAUAUGUGACGUGACCGCAUGGUCUGCGUCUGGAAAGAAUUUCGGUUGGGGAUGGGCUCGCGGCCUAUCAGCUUGUUGGUGAGGUAAUGGCUCACCAAGGCGUCGACGGGUAGCCGGCCUGAGAGGGUGACCGGCCACACUGGGACUGAGACACGGCCCAGACUCCUACGGGAGGCAGCAGUGGGGAAUAUUGCACAAUGGGCGCAAGCCUGAUGCAGCAACGCCGCGUGAGGGACGACGGCCUUCGGGUUGUAAACCUCUUUUAGCAGGGAAGAAGCGAAAGUGACGGUACCUGCAGAAAAAGCGCCGGCUAACUACGUGCCAGCAGCCGCGGUAAUACGUAGGGCGCAAGCGUUAUCCGGAAUUAUUGGGCGUAAAGAGCUCGUAGGCGGUUUGUCGCGUCUGCUGUGAAAUCCGGAGGCUCAACCUCCGCCCUGCAGUGGGUACGGGCAGACUAGAGUGCGGUAGGGGAGAUUGGAAUUCCUGGUGUAGCGGUGGAAUGCGCAGAUAUCAGGAGGAACACCGAUGGCGAAGGCAGAUCUCUGGGCCGUAACUGACGCUGAGGAGCGAAAGGGUGGGGAGCAAAC